rnacentral:lncRNA from 1 species
CUCUAGGGAAAGAGAUGGAGGCUUCAGGAUCUUCUUCUCAGUCUCCAAACAGCAGUGCGGUCCACAGAGAAACAGAAGAUCUAAACCACAGCAGCGAUGAGGACAAGCACUCCAGAGGUCCGAGGAAACACAGAAGGAAGUCGCACAGAGACAGCUCUCCUGGUGCUGACCAUGGGGAACUGGAGGUGCUGAAGGACGAGCUUCAGCUCUAUGGAGGCGCUGCUGGGGAAAUGGUGCUUGCUGGGGAGUCAGGACUCCGAAGGAGAGGUUCCGGCUCAGCGGAGGGAGAAGUGGAGGCCUCUCAGUUAAACAGACUGAACAUAAAGAAGGAUGGUAAGUU